GAUGAACGCUAGCUACAGGCUUAACACAUGCAAGUCGAGGGGCAGCAUGAACUUAGCUUGCUAAGUUUGAUGGCGACCGGCGCACGGGUGAGUAACACGUAUCCAACCUGCCGAUGACUCGGGGAUAGCCUUUCGAAAGAAAGAUUAAUACCCGAUGGCAUAGUUCUUCCGCAUGGUAGAACUAUUAAAGGAUUUCGGUCAUCGAUGGGGAUGCGUUCCAUUAGGUUGUUGGCGGGGUAACGGCCCACCUAGCCUACGAUGGAUAGGGGUUCUGAGAGGAAGGUCCCCCCACAUUGGAACUGAGACACGGUCCAAACUCCUACGGGAGGCAGCAGUGAGGAAUAUUGGUCAAUGGACGAGAGUCUGAACCAGCCAAGUAGCGUGAAGGAUGAAGGUCCUACGGAUUGUAAACUUCUUUUAUAAGGGAUAAAACCUCCCACGUGUGGGAGCUUGUAUGUACCUUAUGAAUAAGCAUCGGCUAACUCCGUGCCAGCAGCCGCGGU
rnacentral:rRNA from 1 species